rnacentral:rRNA from 1 species
GACGAACGCUGGCGGCGUGCUUAACACAUGCAAGUCGAACGGAAAGGCCCUGCUUUUGUGGGGUGCUCGAGUGGCGAACGGGUGAGUAACACGUGAGUAACCUGCCCUUGACUUUGGGAUAACUUCAGGAAACUGGGGCUAAUACCGGAUAGGAGCUCCUGCUGCAUGGUGGGGGUUGGAAAGUUUCGGCGGUUGGGGAUGGACUCGCGGCUUAUCAGCUUGUUGGUGGGGUAGUGGCUUACCAAGGCUUUGACGGGUAGCCGGCCUGAGAGGGUGACCGGCCACAUUGGGACUGCGAUACGGCCCAGACUCCUACGGGAGGCAGCAGUGGGGAAUAUUGCACAAUGGGCGGAAGCCUGAUGCAGCAACGCCGUGUGCGGGAUGACGGCCUUCGGGUUGUAAACCGCUUUCGCCUGUGACGAAGCGUGAGUGACGGUAAUGGGUAAAGAAGCACCGGCUAACUACGUG